CCCCCCCCAUCCCCCCGUUCCGCGUCCCUGGGACAACCCGCGCCCGGCGCUCCCCACCCCCCGGGGCCGCCCCCCCGGAGGCAGGGGCCCGGUCGGGAGGACCCGGGCGUUGGGCCGUCUCCCGGGACAGCCACGGGUCCGCCCGGGCCGCGGGACCGACGGCCGGGGGUCGGCGGCGGCCUCGCCGCGGGGGUGGCUCGGGGGUGAGGACGGGCGUCCGGCGGGCGACGGGGCACGUCUGCCCCGCAGGUGACACCGGAUCGUGCCCACGGAGGACGCGAGGCGUCCCGCGGGCCACAGGCCAUUCCUGAUCCACGGGUGACACAGGCCCACAUCCACGGGUGUGGGGCAUGCCUGCCACACAGGUGACACCAGGCCCCCGUCCCACAGGUGACACUGGGCCUGUGUCCCAUGAAGGGUUGGACUCGAUGAUCUCUGAGGUCUUUUCCAACCCAGUCGAUUCUGUGAUUCUGUGAAUGACAUCAGGCUCGUGUUCCAUAGGUGACACAGGCUCCCAAUCCACGAGUGACGCCAGGUGCAUGUCCCACAGGUGACACCAGGGCUGCAGGGGGUCGGGCAUUGCUGCCCUGUGUUCCACCACCUGUGGCCAUGCCCAGGCUGGCCCUGAGCUGCGUUGUGUCCCCCACGCUCCGCCAGCUGAUGUGACCAGCAGCAGCUCCAUCGGGUGCCCCGUGCGACACUUGCUGCUGAACUCAGGGUGAUCUUCAGUGUAAACGUCUCCCAGAUAAGGAAAACCCUUCCGCUGGCCUCUCCUCCUGCUUGCCUCUGCGGGAGACAGGGCGGCUGUGCUCGUCACUCCGUUGCUUCCACUGCUGCCUUUUUUUUUUUUUCCCUGUCCUUUAGCUUUUUCCCCGUGACGGGCUGGGUUUCAUUCAAGUAAGAGGCAUGACUCCUUGUCCCACAGGCCAAGGAUGAGACAAGCUCUGUCACUUUUCGCUGAUGGCCCUUCUGUGUGACAAGAGUCCCUGUUUCCCUUUGUGACAGCAGAGAGGAUGUUUGAGAUGCUCCAGCCACAGAACAGCAGCACCAAUAUCAGGGACAACAUCCUGGUCCCCAGUGCCCUUCUCUGCCCAGGAAUUCCCAGGAUGUUUUGCACCAUCAUAAAACAUCUCCCAUGUCUGAGCAAAGCUGAGUUCUGCUGGUUGGAUCAAAGUGAGAAAGUCCCAUUUCCGGCUCCUUGGGCAAACCAAUCUGUGAUGGGUUUUAGCAGCGGCUUCUUGCUGCAGCACCUUCCUGAAGUCCAGGUACCACCAGGAUAUUUUAAAUCCUUCCCAUCAUUGAGGCUCAAUAAAAUAGUCUGGACCAGGACAGCAGGUUCCAGAUGAGAAUGGGUCAGGGCACCACCUGAAGGUGGGGGGCUGGACCCCAAACCCCGUGAUGGAUGGACCAGGAAUGCAGCCAGAGCCACGGAUUAGACGCCUGGACACUAGCAGAUACCGAAGCCAUCAGUGCCCGUGUUUGCGUGUGCUGUGGGGCUGCAGAGGCACAGGGCACGGCCCCGCUGGGCAUCACAUCUGCUGAAGUGCUGAGAAACCCCAAAAAGCCUCAAACAGGCCCAGUCCCAGGUGAACAUGAGAGCUGGCUCUGGAGAGGGGAUGGUCAACCAGCCCAUGUCUUGCACAUGUCAUCCUGCCACACCUGCUCCACCGUUUCUCAUCCAUCUCGCAUCUCUGUUGCUCCUCAGCCUCCUUCACCCUUUCCUCACCUGUCCCAUUUCCACCUCCAAAGGCUGUUCCUGGUCUGUGGCUUUGCUCCAUGACCCCGCCCAGCUGCAGGUGUAGACACAGAGGCUGCGGAGACGUUUGCUGUGUGGAUCCAGUACUGCCACCUUGGGCAAGGGACCGGGUCCCCUCCUGUCCUCGUUUCCACCACUGCAGGAUUUCACAGCAAGGAACAUCUCCCAAGAUCCAAACUGACCGAGAAACCAGGUGCUCCACAAAUACUGAUUUGAAAAGCAGAGGGGUGAAAGCAGCAGAGGAAGUAAUUCUCCAUGUUAAUGUGAUUUUAAACCUUGUUUCUCUGAGGAUGAGAAGUACAGGGGUUCCUGCCUUAGAAACCCUGCUCUUCUGUUCCAUUUAAAAAAAAUGAACCGGCACCUGCUCCUGAACCAGGCCUGACUCAAAUAGAGUCACCGACUGUAACUGAGGAACAGAAAAUACGGAGAUGAUGGAGCAGCAAAGUUACUGAUGAAGAACAGAACGAAGCGUGAUGUACAAGUAAGAAGCUGUAGGUGCUUAUAAAGACCAAGCGUUUGUAAAGACCAACAUGCCAAAAAUAUUCCUAAGCUGGAAAUCUUGAGAUACGAAUAACUCCUGGUGUUGGCUGCACUGCUGCGAUUCAGACAGAGAGUGAAGUAUUGCAGUUUACAAGUCAGAUUUCAUUAAUGCUUUACCUUUCUCUGGAGACACCUAAAGCUCAACCUACCAUUAACAAAGCUCCGUUUCACCACUAGAAAGCCUAAAUCACCCGUACCUGAGCCAACACAAAGACACUGCAACUGAGUCACAGAAAGAAUAACUUGUCUCCUGCUGCCAUGUGCAAAGGAGGGCGGGACCUCGGCUACAGAGAAUUUAACUGUGGGACUGCAUUUGUACACCGAGUCAUAAAAGUCCAGGGUUAAAAGAAACGAGGGAAAAAAGAAGGAUGAGGCAACUAGGUCUAGGAAAGGGUUAAAUUCAAUGUCACUUUUACUCUGUCACAAUUACACUUUUACUCGGCUCUCAAAAAAUUACUGGAUUAGGCCAAUACAGUGGAUGAAAAUGGACAUUAGAAGUUUUAAUCCAAGAUUACUGUACCUGUAGCAAGAGAAACUCCUACACAGCCAUGAGCCUCAGCCUUCCUGGCAAGCCGCUCCUCCAGGUCUGAAGUACAGCAACACCUGUAACCACCUCCCUGCUGAGCCAACAGCCGCCGCAGCCUCAAUGUUAUGAGCUGCUAUGGAAAGCAGAAUAAAAAUCAUGUGUGUGUAUAUAUAUAUAUAUAUAUAUAUUUAUAUAUAUAAUCUGUUCCACACCUGGGAGCUUAUUGAAUCUCCUGUCAAGCUGCAGGAUGUGAGCUGAUGAUGAACAGAAAUACUUGUGGAAAGCUCACACCCCACACCUCACCCAAACACCUGGCCCAAAGAAAUGGACUUGCAGCCUGUGGCAGAUUCACAGGGGACACCAGGACAGACAGAUGGACGCAGGACAGAAACCAGCCCCACAUGCCACCAGGUGUGCCCACAAACCUCCUGCCCACCUCCUGAAGGAUGAAUCCCACCACUGACCCCAAUGACUUGGGGAUAAGUCUGCUUUUAAAAGUAGUUUAUUUGGAUUUUCCACAUCCUUUAAUGAAUCACAAAUAUAUUAACAGAAAAGACUUUUUUCCUAAGACUGUACAAUUUUUGAAAUAAAAAGUCAGGAAAAGCCCCUCCCCCCCCCCCCCCAAAAAAAAAGAGGAAAAAGACAAAUUACAUUGUUUCAAUGCAAAUAGUACACACCACACCCACACUUUCCAUUUUUUCAUAGUUUUGUUGUAAGAAAUGACAGUUCCCUAAUUCUUCCAGCGAACACUCCCGCUUGAACCCGGACGCCGCAGAACCUUCACGCUCACUGUCCUUCUAACCGCCCCUCUUCAAAGACAGCAACUUUUUAUCAAUUAAAUACUAAUUUUGUGUAUGUAUUUAGAAGGUAAAAUAGCAGCAUGGUCUAAAUGUUACUUGACAUUCUUGGGGAGGUGGGGGGGAAGAAAAAUCACUUUAAGGUACAAUGUAGAUAUAAAGCAAGGGACAGUUUUAAGUGAUAAAUCUUGCAGGUAGCACGAGUAUCCUUCUAACAUCCCAGCUGCAUUAAAAGCUCCUUGCAAGGUGUCGAAAAUUUUAUUACAAUUGUUCACGAUUUUUAGAGAACAAAAGGAAAGGGAAAAAGGCACCUAAUUUCCCAGAUCUCUGGUCCCCAUUUAAACAACAGCAUUUGCUAUGGAAAAGUCUUGAGAGUAGCACCUGCUUACGCGUGCUUUUUGCUUAAAAAAUACUUUGGGAACCAAAAGGAAGCCAAUUAACAAGUUAAUUGGUGGCAUCCACACAAGUGCUGCCUCCAGAUCUCGUGCUGAGGUGCUGCUGAGAAAUUCCUCCCCACAGGGACGGACACACGUGGGAGAGACAGACACGGGACAACCGGCAGGCGCUCGGCUGUGGGUCAGAUCAGCUCCGGGGAACCGGAGCCCCGUGUCCCCCGGUGCGGAGUCGCCCCGCAGCACCUGUCGCCACAGCACACCGCGCGGGGCCGGUGCCCAGGGCAGCUGAGCUCCGCAUGAUUUUCCAGUCCAUUCAAGAACUUCCAGACACAAGCUGAUCAGAACGAAGUGACACAGGCACAAAGCUCCUUUAAUAUAUUAUCAUUCCUCAGAUUUUAGAGUUUCCUUUUCACACUAUUAGGGGAGUUUAAGCCUGUUUUUCACUGCUCAUCCUCCCUCUGACUUCCAAAAGAAAAAAAACAAAACAAAACAAAAAACCAACACCAAACCAAACCAAGCAAACAACCCCGAGAA